AGAUAAACCCUGAACUUCAGCACUACUCGUUGUCUACCAAGCAUCUUUGGAUAUCCUAAAGAUUAUGUUGCCAAAUAUUGAGGUGACCAUUUCUAAGCAGUGACCAUCAGUUCCGGAAAGUCCAGCAGGAGGAACAUCUUCUCCGAGUCCUCCUGAGAACAAUUCUCAGGAUUUUAUAUAAUCGAAUCAGCAUGAAAAUGGGAAAAUCAGAUGGAAAUCCUGACUGCUGUUUCUUUUUGGAUUUGGGGUUAAAUGCCCUGUUGUUCCUGAACAAUUCUUUUGGCUUGAAGAUAAGUUCCUGGCGUGCAAUCCCAUUGUUUCACUUAACUGACCUGAAAAAGGUAAAAGAGAUGGUGCAAGAGAGUGAAGCCUAUCCAGAAAGCUUCAAUAAACAACGUUCUACUUAGCAGAUCAGAAUAGUAUGUGGAGGCAAAGGGACCACGAAUGCUUCUGUCAAAGGCUUGACCAGAAACAAGGACUAUCUGUUUCCCCCGCCACAGAUGCUGCCCGACCUGGUGCUUCCUGGCAAGUUCAGUAUUUCCAACACUUUCCGUUACAACUUCCAAAACUGUUUCCUGGAACACCGUGGUCAAUAGGAAUUUCAUGCAUGAGAAGCCAAUGAACUUACAAACCUGCACAUCUUUGGAAUGUGGGAAGAAACCAGAGCACCCGGAGAAAACCCACACGUUCAUAGGAAGAACAUGCAAACGUUAGGCAGAUAGCACCCAUGGUCAGGAUCGAACCCAGGUCUCUGGUGCUGUAAGUGGAUGCCAAAAUCCACUUUCGCAUCCACUCCCUACACACCAGGGGCAAUUUACGGAGGCCAAUAGAGCUACAAACCUGCACGUCUAUGGGAUGUUGGAGAAAACUGGAGCCCCCGGAGAAAAACCCACGCUGUUACAGGGAGAACGUACAAACUCUGCACAGACAGCACCCACAGUCAGGAUGGUAUCCAGGUCUCUGGUGCUGUGAGGCAGUAACUCGACUGUUGUGCCACUAUGCCGCCCUUGAUGUUCAGAAGAAUGAAGGGUAAUCUUAUUGAACCACUUCUAUGGAUGACAGGAUGAACAGAUGGGUCGAUGUUUCCCAUUCAUGGGAGUGCCUCGUACCAGAUGGCAUCGUGUCCAGGUAAGCAUGUGCCCGCUUCAGACUGAGAAUAGAAAGACUACCAUCUCACAAACUUCUGUGAGUCUUUGCAAUUGUUAUUAGCUUUUAUAAUGUGUCCAAUUAUGUAUGCAUGGGAUGUGGAGAGUAUUGGCAAGGCCAGCAUUUGUGAUCCCACAGCAGACUGUUAGCUCAGCAAUUUCAGACAGCAGUUAAAAGUCAAACACACUGCGGUGAGGUUGGAGACUGGGGAAAAUUGGCAAACUUCUUUUCCCUGAAGUACAUCAGUCAGUCAGGCCGGUUUUUAUAAUAACCCGGUAGUCUUGUGGUCGUUGCAGGCUUUCAAUGCCAGAUUUAGUUAAGGUGGAUUUUCCAAUUAAUGGUUUGCAAAUGAGUAAAGAGUUUGAGGACAGGCACAUGUUGACCAGGACGUAUUGAACUGCAUAGGUGCCGACUGAAGGAACACGAUUGUUCUGAUUGUAAACCAUUAUAAGAAAGAUCACCUGAAGACAAGCCAGAGAAGGGCCACCCGGACUGGAAAGUGUUAGCUGUGAGGAAAGCAAGGAUACAAUGGGGUUGGUGCUUUGAAACUGGUCAAAUUGAGGUGUACAAUGUAAGAUAAGGGAGCCCUAUACUAAUUAACAGUGGGAUGAAAAAUGAGCAGCAUAGAUUUGAACACAUUAGCAUGUUGAUUGGUGCAGCACAAGAACAGGCCCUUCGGUACACAAUGUCCAUGCUGAACAUGGUGCCAUGUUAAGCUAAUCUCUGUUUGCUGUCUGCAUGUGACCCAUGCACAGUGACGCAUGAGACACCAUGAUGGUAGAGAUGCUGCCUUACAGCGCUAGAGACCCGGGUUUGAUCCUGACGACAGGUUCUGUCUGCAUGGAGUUUGUAUGUUGGGGGCUGUGUUGGAGCAUUGCCUUGGGGGACAGGCCCAACGGGUCCGCACCCGGUCUAGUAAUAAACAAAAAUACAAUGAGGUAAUGACUGUAAUGCCAGAUAAACAUAACAGUGCAUAACUGAGCUUCAUAGUGCAACCAAAGACACAGUCCAUAGCAAAUCACAGAUGCUGAAAUUAGAGAUUAGUGUUAUGCAGUGUUCAAGAACCUAAUGGUUGCUGGAAAUAAGCCGUAUUUUCAAUUGGAGGUCAUGGUUCUCAGGCUCCUCUUGUACCUCCUACCCGAUGGUAUAGUGAGAUGAGAGCGUAGCCAAGGUGGGUCUCUGAUGAUAUUGGCUGCCUUGCUGAGGCACCGUCUCCGAUAUGCAUAAACCAGGUAACGUCAAUCUAUUUUCCUAUUCUUAUUUGCUAAGAUGGAUAAAUCCCAGGCUCCCCACCUCCUGCCUGCUAACUAGGAACCUACAUCUGCUGAUGGGUUUAGAUAAACAUCUGUUGGUUAACAAUGAGUGGCAGAUUCUCUUCAAAAGAGUGAGACAUCAGUUCAAAAUAUUUAAAAACACAUUCAAGUUAAUCAAAGCCUCCUUUCAAUGGCAAAUCUCAGCUAGAAAUACUUCAGAAGGCAUCAUUUAUGUAGGAAAUAUGUUUUUGUUUCGAUUGAAUUACAUAAUAGGGGAUUAAAUGGAUUGUAUAGCAAAUUACACAAUUUAACUCUUAUUCCGUAACCGGCCUAUCAAAGAUCAAAGCAUAAAAUUACUUGGCAAUCUGUUUAUGCAUUUAUCAGAAUUUAACUGUUUGUAUUUGCAUAUUUAUGAGGAUUAAUUAAUAGUAAAAUCAUGCUGUUGUGCUUAUGUCUAAAUUAGUGCCUCUAAAAUGCAUAAACAUAUAUAACUUUGCAUAAUGUGCCUUUGAAACAUUUUGUUGCGUUAACAUUUGUGUAGUUCAAAUAGAAACAGGUUUGCUCCUUUAGUUAAGCCCCUCCUCGUGUGAAGGAAGUGGGUAGUUCUCAGGCAGUCUAAAUGCAUUGGGCUCUGUCCCGUAUUCUACUGAUGCGUCAACAUCAUCUGUUAAUGGUGAAACUGCUCUUCAAAGUGAACGUUUGAUCUCAAAGCAUCAAACAUCAAACUUCGACCCCUGCCGUCUGGGCCGACCAACAAUCACUCCUAUACUCGUUCUAUGGUAUCCCAGUUUUGCCCCCUACACACUUGGACCAAUUUACAGAAGCCAUUUGACCUACAAAUCUACACAUCUUUGGAAUGUGGGAGGAAACCGGAGCACCUGGAGGAAACCUACACAGUCACAGGGAGAACGUGUAAAGUCCACAUAGAUAGCAUCCAUAGUCACGAUUGAACCCAGGUUUCUGGCGCUGUAAGACAGCAGCUCUACCUUUGUGCCACCAUACCGCCAUUAUAUGGAAUAAGGAGUGGAGGAAAUCCAAGCUGUUUGGAUAGCAUGCAAAACAAGGGGUGUUCCUUGGUGCAGGGGACAAUACUGAACCUAAACCUAAACCUAAACCUAAAACUAGACUGUUUUCCUUUCUAAUUGGCUCUAUUGGGGAAUAAAAUAAUUUGUGACUGUUUUCCUGCAUAUAUCCAAAUGUAAGGCUUGGAAUCGUUUAGAAGGAUAUGGGUCAAAUGUAGAUGGGCAACUGUAAUUCAUGUAGAUGGGCACCUUGGUUGGCAUGGGCAAGCUGGGUUGAAGGACCCGUUUCCUUGCUGUAUGACUAUGAUUCUAAUUGCAUUUAAGCUUGCUGACUCCAUGUUACCACUGAAGCAAAAUGCCUUUAGUUUUAUUGAGAUGCAAGGAACUGCAGAUGCUGGAACCUUCGGUAAAACAUAAAAUGUUGGAGAUUCUCAGCGGGUGAGGCAGCAACUAUGGAGCGAAUAUCUAUAUUGAUAUUCAAUGGCUCUGGAAAUCCAUUGGUCUGGAAAUUCAGUCAUGUCUAGUUGUUUAUUUCUGUCUCUGCAAAUUAAUAUUAGAUUGCAAUUGUGAAUAUUUGAAUAUUUUUAAGGCAGAGGUGUUUGAUAGUUGAUAAGCAAAGAGGUGAAAGGUCACUACAGGCAGAUGGGAAUGUGGAGUGGAGGUUGUAAUCAGAUCCCCAAUCUCUUCAUUAAAUGCACGGUGGUAUAGUGUGAUGUGAUUUGACUGGUUAGCUCACAAUCCAAAUAAAUCACUAACAAAUCAUGGUAAACCUGACAUAAGUAAAACCAAGGCAACUGAACCAUCCUACCAACAACUAGCGAGCAGUGGUAGACAAAAGUGCUGGUGAAACUCAGCGGGUGCAGCAGCAUCUACAGAGCGAAGGAAAUAGGCAACAUUUCGGGCCGAAACCCUUCUUCAGACUAGAGAGCAGUCCUGGGCUCCUAUCUCCCUCAUUGGGGACCGUUGGACUAUCUUUGAUCAGACUUUACUGGAAUUUAUCUUGCACUGACCAUUAUUCAUGUUAUCCCCUUUAUCAUGUAUCUGUACACUGUGGAUGGCUCAAUUGUACUCAUGUAUUGUCUUUUCGCUGAUUGGCUAGCACACAACAAAAGCUUUUCACUAUACACUUGACAAUAAACUGAACUAAACAAAUCUCUGAGUGAGUCCGGGACCUAAUGUAUGUUUGUAUACCUGGGCGUGUACAAGCUGUGACUUUGAAUACCCACUACACACUCGUCUGUG